rnacentral:rRNA from 1 species
CUGGAAGGAGAGGUGGCCCAAGGGAGAAUUGUGGGCUUCCACUUUUUUCGCUCCAGGAUGGGACUGCGGCCGAUCAGGCUGUUGGCGGGGUAAUGGCCCACCAAACCUGUAACCGGUACGGGCCUUGAGAGAGGUGGCCCGGAGAUGGACACUGAGACAAGGGUCCAGGUCCUACGGGGCGCAGCAGGCGCGAAACCUUCGCAAUGCGCGAAAGCGUGACGAGGUUAAUCCGAGUAGCUUCCGCUUAGGAAGUCUUUUGCCGACUCUAAAAAGGUCGGAGAAUAAGGGGAGGGCAAGUCUGGUGUCAGCCGCCGCGGUAAUACCAGCUCCUCGAGUGGUCGGGGCGAUUAUUGGGCCUAAAGCAUCCGUAGCCGGUUCCGUAGGUCUCCUGCAAAAUCCAGUCGCUCAACGAUUGGCCCGCAGGAGAUACCGCGGGACUAGGAGGCGGGAGAGGUGGACGGUACUCCACGUGUAGGGGUAAAAUCCUUUGAUCCGUGGAAGACCACCAGUGGCGAAGGCGGUCCACCAGAACGCGCUCGACGGUGAGGGAUGAAAGCUGGGGGAGCGAACCGGAUUAGAUACCCGGGUAGUCCCAGCCGUAAACGAUGCGAGCUAGAUGAUCCAGUCGCAAAUCGCGACUGGAGUGUCGCAGGGAAGCCGUUAAGCUCGCCGCCUGGGGAGUACGGUCGCAAGACUGAAACUUAAAGGAAUUGGCGGGGGAGCACCACAAGGGGUGAAGCCUGCGGUUCAAUUGGAUUCAACGCCGGA